UAGACAUGCGAGUAUUAAGUCUCUUAGGAGGCUUUGCGAAAGGCUCAGUAACACGUCGCCAAACUGCCCUAUGGACAGGGAUAACCUCGGGAAACUGAGACUAAUCCCUGAUAGGUAUGGAAUCCUGGAAGGGGCCAAUACCAAAAUGGGCUUCGGUCCGCCAUAGGAUGUGGCCGCGGCCGAUUAGCUAGUAAGUGAUGUAAAGGAUCACUUAGGCGAUGAUCGGUAGGGGUUAUGAGAGUAAGCGCCCCGAGAAGGACACUGAGACACUGGUCCUAGCACUACGGUGUGCAGCAGUUAGGAAUUGUGCCCAAUGCGCGAAAGCGUGAGACCGCGAAUCUGAGUGCCAAGGAGAACCUUGGCUGUGAUGGAGUGUUCAUAGCUCCAACAGCAAGCAGAGGGCAAGGCUGGUGCCAGCCGCCGCGGUAAAACCAGCUCUGCGAGUGCCUAGCGCGAUUAUUGGGCUUAAAGCAUCCGUAGCCGGAUAAGUAGGUCUCUGGUUAAAUCUGCAAGCUUAACUUGUAGGCUGUCAGAGAUACCGCUAAUCUAGGGAAUAGGAGAGGUGAACGGUACUGCGAGAGAAGCGGUGAAAUGCGUUGAUUCUCGCAGGACCCACAGUGGCGAAGGCGGUUCACUGGAAUAUCUCCGACGGUGAUGGAUGAAAGCCAGGGGAGCGAAAGGGAUUAGAGACCCCUGUAGUCCUGGCCGUAAACGAUGAGGAUUAGGUGUUGGCCAUGGCUAAGGGCCUGGUCAGUGCC
rnacentral:rRNA from 1 species